UAAGAAGGUGGUGAUUGGGCCAAUAUUUACAAUAACAUGUGCAUGGAUUUAUUUUGCAGGAAAACACGUGGAAAUGGGAUUCAGGCUUUGCCCGACUCAUAAUUGUACAUGCAGACAGAGGUUGUGUAUUGGAGUUUUUAAUUUCAGGUGCAGGGAUGUCAGUUUGUUCGGGGCGAGGAAAUAAGACUGAUUCCACCAGUUGUGUCUGUCUCCACCUUCACACACCACUGAAUUCCUUCGACAUUUUGAACAGUUUCCUGAGUAGCAGAGGAUGGUACUUUCUACGACAAGAGGAAGUUUACUACAGAUGAUGUUGAUGUCUCCAGUGGAAACAUCUCGGGGCUGAAGUGGGCACUGUGACACUGCCGGAACUGGGCUCUGCUGACAUGGGUUGGGUCGGCCAGUCGAGUGACUCUCCAGUCUGGAUGAAAAAUUCGCAUGGCAUCUUGGAAUCCCUGGGCUGACCGGGCAUCACCGUCUGUUGUGGCGUGCUUCACCUUGAACCCGUCUGCGGCCAGAUCUUCGCCUAUGGAUUUAGCCAACUCGUACUCUGAAAGAGGGCUAGAGUGGCUGUGUUGACCUGAUUGCUGGCCCUUUGCAUUGAGCUGCGGUUAGGAGGUGGAAUGUCCAAGGCAGCUACCAUUUCCCGACUGCGUCGAUUCCCCAUGGAGGUGUUCUGCAGGGCUAAUUGAAAGUUCCAGUUGAUACUGGCAGGAUUAGGGCCUGGUUUGUUAAAGCUCCUUGCAUGGCUCAGGUCUGGGACGAAGGAUCGGUGUCCUUGAGAUGUUUUCCUGGCCUUCAGCAAGGGGCUGUGCUGUCUCUGUCUCAGGGGAUCCCUGGAUGUUUGACGCUGAACUUGAAGCUCCUGCGGCAUUUAACGUAGCCUGAUGAGCCUUGAUAUAAUGAAUGUUCCCUUUUUUAAACCCAAAAUUAAGAUUUUUUCUUCUCUUACGGUCACCUUUCAUUGUUUUCAUGUGUAGUGAAGAGUGGAUUUGAAAGUAAGAUUGAAUUAUGACAAUGUUUAUUUGGACACUUUUUAGUGGUAUUUACUGCAAUAUAUUCCUUUGACAAUCACCUGUCAAAACAGACUCCCAUAGGGUAUUAAGAUUACCUAUACAAAGACUCUUAGCCAAUCAGCUGCACAUGGCCCCUCUUCACCGUCAGGAAAAAGGAUAUGGGGGUGGGCUUAAAAAUCUGUUUAUUUUGAAUGUUAUGUACACUUUUAUCAGUAAUGUGAUACAUCAUUUGAUUUAUGAAUAAAUGUACUUUAAAUGUU